rnacentral:misc_RNA from 1 species
CUCCACCAUAAUAUAAUUAACAUUAAAAAUUUAGCAUUCUGAAAACAACUUGCUAAACAAAAAUCCCCCAUCAUCCUCUCGCCCUGCUACAAAUUUAUUUUCACCAUUGGCAUUGCUCCAUCGCUUUCUCUUACCUGUUAUUUACAAAUAUAACAAAAUAUGGAUCCAUCACUUCUCAAUCACUGGUUUCCAUACAUAUAUAGCAACAUACCAAACUCGGCUCAUCUUGAUCUCGAAAUUACAACUUAAUUAAUUUAAUUUUCU